UACAAACCUGUCUAAGCAACCCCUCCAUAGGGACGGGAUGGGCGCAGCAAAGGGACCCCUUUGCAAGGUGGGGAGGUCCCCAGUCCCUCUCUUCGGUGCCGAGCUCGCUCUGGCGCUCGCGUCGCUGGCUUUCCGCUGCCGCCGGUUCUAGGUCAGGAAGCGGAGGCUCAAAGAGGCCGUCGCUGGCCUCUCUGCCUGGCGGGGGAGGGAGGCCACGAGACGGACGUACGAGGCGGGUGGUCGCUGGCGCUGCCGGCACCAGCAGUGGGAGGAGGAAGGGAUCUAGAUGGGAGGGGGAGCUUCAAGGACGGGGAGGCCACUGCCGUUGCCGCUGCCAAGGUGCCAGUUGAAGGUGGAUGAAGGUGGUUCUCCGACAGAUCCACAACAAAACCACAAAGGGCACCACGUGUACACACGACGGAAAGGAUGUCACGAGACUUGGAGACUGUAAUCGUUUACUAAACGAAAUAGGCUUUUACGAUCCACCACCGCCGCCGCAACACAAGUCACCGAUUCACGUAAAACCAGGCAACCAGUAACUUUUAUAAAGUGGACUACUUUCCCAGAACGAAUUCGUUCUCUUUCAUGACGGUUCAUAGUUGAUCGAUCAAUGUCUAAGUGAGUAGUCCCUUCAUUGAACAUUGUCGUCACCUCACGCCCGUACACGGUAUAUAGAUAAUCAUUAAAUCAUGAAAGUAGCACGAACACGAUCGAGGUCCAAACUUAGAAGGAAUCGUGUGAUAAAAAUCUUCACUACGAAUGACAACCAAUCCCAGAAGACUUCUUGUUAUUGUUAAAAAAUAUAAACGACGUGUUCAAGACGAUACGUAAGUAAAUGUGAAUGCUGUGACGGCCUCUUAUGUAACAAACACUUAACAAACAAUCUGACGGAAUGUAGGAAAAUAUCUAUCUGCGGAAAUUAAGAGACGUGAUUUUUCAGGUACAAACAAAACAGGAAUGAAAGGGGUAAUAUGUAAAAAACAGGGGUAAAAAUGAUUAAAACCUUAAUAUAUAACUGCCCUUCGAACUGUUAUUACUAGAUAACGAAUAGUAGAAGGAAAGAAGACAGGAAUGAAUAAAUCAUUAAUAAUGACUUUACAUACUGUGUUAUUGGUCUUUAUCUUCAAUCAUAAGACCGAGAAUAGAAAAAAAGAGUUGUUCAAGACGACUAACAAUAAUUUUUGAUUCGAUAUCAGUAGUACACGAGUACAUUAACAAUGUUAAGAGUCAACCUAUGUACCACGAUUGAAGGAAAAAAACAUCAAGUUGCUUGUAGCUCAACACCAUGGACUACAUCUACGCCUCACCUCUUUUCUGGACUCAUCCUGAUCACUAAAAGUGGAACGUCGGGUAGGAGAAGCUUUCACAGAUACGGAGCCUGUACUGUUAAACUAUUAAGUCUUAAACACAUCACUUGUUUGAAUUUGUUACUACGUAGUUACGGUUAACAUAACUAACUAAAAUACAACCUUGUGCUUUUUUCCAAAUCGAGUGGCGAAUUAGCCUUACUUUACACCUGGCUACCCAUAAACUUGGAACCACUUCACUACCUAUAGUCAACAUAAAAAAAUUAUUUUAAUAUCAAAUGUACUUAAGACUUCAAAAACAUACACAGACAAAGUAACAUUUUAAUAAACACGUCAAAAAUAGAAACUAGAAAAAAAAAUUAAUAGAAACUAGACAACACAAUAUAGACAUACAAAAUCCACUCCCCAAAGAAAGGGAGGG
rnacentral:rRNA from 1 species